CGUCUCUCUUCUUUCCCCCACCGAAACCACCUCAUGCCCUAACUGCUCUCUCCCAACCGGCGUGCUACCAAAACCGCCGCUCCCCCGACGCAUCCCAUCUUAUCCUCUCCUCUUCCGAGCUUUUCCCCUCGCUCGUGCCCUAAUCUCUGCUCUAUUGUCGUACACCUACCUUUCCUCUUCCACUCCGCCGAGCAACGUCGCUGAUCGCCGGCACACGAGCACCCUUCGUUUUUCUCUCGUCUUUGCCCGACGGCGUAGCCGAGCGCCGGCCACCGGAUCCGGUACCAGUCAUUUGUGCCCUAGCUAGCCACCGACGCCCGUCGCCCCUCGCAGUGGAGAUCCCAGUGGCGCCGCCGACACUCCCUUGUGCCCUAGCAUCCUCUGCCCUAGCGACGACAGCCGGCGCCGGCGCCCCUUUCCAGUGCCCUCCUUCCUUCUGAACAGUGUAGAUUGGCCUAGGGCUCGAGUUUCACCUGCACACCUCUCCGCCGUGCCUAGCAGUGAUCCUUAAGGAGGAAGAUCUUGGAUCAGUUCAUACUGUAUUUCCAUAUCAGAGCUUGGAUCUUCUCCUCUGUUUUUGAUCAUCCCUUCCUUGUGGUGGACUUAGGUCACGGUUGAGGUUGAUGUUGUCCAGAGAGUUCCAGUCGCUAGUCCCCUGAAGACCCAGAGUUAUUUGAUCUUUUUGUUAUGUCUCUUAUUGCACUAACUGGACUUGUAUAGUUUACCUUAUGGAUAUUGUCGAUGAACUUUAUUUGGAUUUGUUUUACUACAUGCCUGCCUAGGCGGCAGAAGAGGUAAGUUGAUUUUAUCGUCGGAUUUGAGCUUUA